UCUGUGUGCAGGAUGGCCUGGAUUCCCUUCCUCCUUGUGCUCUUUGGUCACUGUACAGGUUCCCUCUCUCAGCCUGUACUGCCUCAGCUGCCCUCCCUCUCUGCAUCUCCUGGAACAACUGCCAGAGUCACCUGCACCUUGAGCAGUGGAUUCAGUGUUGGUGAUUUCAGGAUCAGGUGGUACCAGCAGAAGGCAAGCAGCCCUCCCCGAUAUCUCCUGUACUACUACUCAGAAUCAAACAAGGGCCAGGGUCCUGGGGUUUCCAACCGCUUCUCUGGAUCCAAAGAUACCUCAGCCAAUGCAGGGAUUCUGCUCAUCUCUGGGCUGCAAACUGAGGAUGAGGCUGACUACUACUGUGCUACAUUCCAUGGUAACUCAAACUCUUUCACAGUGAUCCAGACUCAUGGGGAACCUGUGCUUACUCAGGCUCCCACUGUCUCUGCACCUCUUGGAAGCACCACCAGACUCACAUGUACCCUGGUCAGUGGCUUCAGUGAUGGGCGCUACCACAUAUUCUGGUACCAGCAGAUGACAGCAAGAUCUCCCCAGUAUCUCCUGAGUUUUAAAUCAGACUCAGACAAGUACCAGGCCUCCAGGGUCCCCAGCCGUUUCUGUGGGUCCAAAGAUGCCCCGGCCAAUGCAAGGAUGCUGCUCAUCUCUGGGCUGCAGCCUGAGGAUAUAUUACUGUCAUACUUCACAUGA